rnacentral:rRNA from 1 species
GAUGAACGCUGGCGGCGUGCUUAACACAUGCAAGUCGAACGGGAAUGUUUCGCUGAUGCGAUUUCGGUCAAAUCUUGAAGCAUUUUAGUGGCGGACGGGUGAGUAACGCGUGGGUAACCUGCCCUGUACAGGGGGACAACAGUUGGAAACGACUGCUAAUACCGCAUAAGCGCACAGCUUCGCAUGAAGCAGUGUGAAAAACUCCGGUGGUACAGGAUGGACCCGCGUCUGAGUAGAUAGUUGGUGAGGUAACGGCCCACCAAGUCAACGAUCAGUAGCCGGCCUGAGAGGGCGAACGGCCACAUUGGGACUGAGACACGGCCCAAACUCCUACGGGAGGCAGCAGUGGGGAAUAUUGCACAAUGGGAGAAACCCUGAUGCAGCGACGCCGCGUGAGUGAAGAAGUAUUUCGGUAUGUAAAGCUCUAUCAGCAGGGAAGAAAACAAUGACGGUACCUGACUAAGAAGCCCCGGCUAACUACGUGCCAGCCGCCGCCGUAA